CAACGCAUAUAAAUACCGGCAUAAUUAUUGAAUUCCAACGUUAGUCGUCAUGAAUUUUACAGACUGUUAGUUACUCAGAGAAUCUGUUAGCAAGCUAUCUUGUAAUCUGCAUUCAAGCAUGAUGCUGCACUGCAAUGUUCUGGGAUAUCUGCCAUGGGUGGCGUUUUUGUUUUUGCUGGAAACAAAACUCUCCACCGCCCCACCAUCCGACAGAGAUGAAUGCCCGUACGGGAAGUACAUGAACGGUACAUACGGUUGCGUAGACUGUGGGUGCGUCCGCAGAGGAACAGAGUAUACAUAUGGAGAGACAACAUUGCCGUGUGAUGCAAAACCGGACAAUGCCAAUGCAGCCGAAAUUUUGCUGGACGGAUAUGUGAUCGGUGCAGAGUGGGGACGUACCUCUCGCCUUAUGACGGUUGUUCAGAGUGUCGCUGCUCGAUCCAAGGCUCUGGCAGCCUUGCAUGCAGUGAAAUAUCCGGCCAAUGCAAAUGCUUGAACGACAACAUUGGCAGUCGAGACUGCAGCGUAUGCCGGGUUGGAUUUUGUAAUUAUCCCGUGUGCGAACCAUGUGAAAAUGUUAUUGGUCCGGCAAUUUCCAAGAUCCCGACUGCUAUAGUGAACGCGACGUUGGAUAUUCUUCGCGCUUUUUCGUUUUACAUUCGACAAUAUUGAAAUACUACAACAAGACGGUUAAACAGCGAAACAUAUAAACCACCAUUGCGAUUUGCGCCUGAAAAACUGAAUAUCUGAAUUGCAUAAAUAGUUUCUCAUUAUUUUGGCUAGCCACUAGUUUCCCCAGAAUCAAAUUAUUGUUACACGCCCUGUUUUAAUUCAUUGUAUACAGUAUCGACUGAAUACAAAAGGUUUAGCCAGGGCCCAGGGAAACAUGUUUUCACAUUUUUGAAACUUGCUUCCUUGAAUGUCUGCUGUGCGGAGCGCGUACAAACUUUGCAUUCUCUUGGCUAGACGCAAUAUUAGAAGAAAAAUUUAUCUUUUAUUGCUCAGGACAAUCCUGUCGUGUUAUGAGGUUGCCAAUGGUACAAAGAAGUACACGAUUAGCUAACAACUCUCCGGACGGGAUCGUCGUAACCACUAUCCCUGCCUUGCUCAGUUCAGGAACACGAAGAUCAGGAAUCCCUAAGCGAUUGUGCUGAAGAAUACUCCUAAGUUCCGGUCGUCACAUAUGCGGGUCGAACGAAGUGAAGGCGGACAGU